rnacentral:rRNA from 1 species
GGACUCGCACAAGCGGUGGAGCAUGCGGUUUAAUUCGAUGCAACGCGAAGAACCUUACCAGGUCUUGACAUAUUGAUGCAUACCAUAGAGAUAUGGGAAGUCCUUCGGGACAUCAUUACAGAUGGUGCAUGGUUGUCGUCAGCUCGUGUCGUGAGAUGUUGGGUUAAGUCCCGCAACGAGCGCAACCCUUAUUAUUAGUUGCUACUAUUAAGUUAAGCACUCUAAUGAGACUGCCUGUGAUAAACAGGAGGAAGGUGGGGAUGACGUCAAAUCAUCAUGCCUCUUACGACCUGGGCUACACGCGUGCUACAAUGGUCGGUACAAAGAGUUGCGAAGCGGUGACGUGGAGCUAAUCUCAUAAAGCCGAAUCUCAGUUCAGAUUGUAGUCUGCAACUCGACUACAUGAAGGUGGAAUCGCUAGUAAUCGCGAAUCAGAAUGUCG